rnacentral:rRNA from 1 species
GGGUGAGUAAUAUAUCGGAACGUGCCCAGUCGUGGAGGAUAACGCAGCGAAAGCUGUGCUAAUACCGCAUACGAUCUCUGGAUGAAAGCGGGGGACUCGCAAGAGCCUCGCGCGAUUGGAGCGGCCGAUAUCAGAUUAGCUAGUUGGCGGGGUAAAAGCCCACCAAGGCGACGAUCUGUAGCUGGUCUGAGAGGACGACCAGCCACACUGGAACUGAGACACGGUCCAGACUCCUACGGGAGGCAGCAGUGGGGAAUUUUGGACAAUGGGCGAAAGCCUGAUCCAGCAAUGCCGCGUGCAGGAUGAAGGCCUUCGGGUUGUAAACUGCUUUUGUACGGAACGAAACGGUCUGCCUUAAUACGGUGGGCUAAUGACGGUACCGUAAGAAUAAGCACCGGCUAACUACGUGCCAGCAGCCGCGGUAAUACGUAGGGUGCGAGCGUUAAUCGGAAUUACUGGGCGUAAAGCGUGCGCAGGCGGUUAUAUAAGACAGAUGUGAAAUCCCCGGGCUCAACCUGGGACCUGCAUUUGUGACUGUAUAGCUAGAGUACGGUAGAGGGGGAUGGAAUUCCGCGUGUAGCAGUGAAAUGCGUAGAUAUGCGGAGGAACACCGAUGGCGAAGGCAAUCCCCUGGACCUGUACUGACGC